rnacentral:rRNA from 1 species
ACGGGUGAGUAAUGUCUGGGAAACUGCCUGAUGGAGGGGGAUAACUACUGGAAACGGUAGCUAAUACCGCAUAAUGUCGCAAGACCAAAGAGGGGGACCUUCGGGCCUCUUGCCAUCAGAUGUGCCCAGAUGGGAUUAGCUAGUAGGUGGGGUAACGGCUCACCUAGGCGACGAUCCCUAGCUGGUCUGAGAGGAUGACCAGCCACGCUGGAACUGAGACACGGUCCAGACUCCUACGGGAGGCAGCAGUGGGGAAUAUUGCACAAUGGGCGCAAGCCUGAUGCAGCCAUGCCGCGUGUAUGAAGAAGGCCUUCGGGUUGUAAAGUACUUUCAGCGGGGAGGAAGGUGUUGAGGUUAAUAACCUCAGCAAUUGACGUUACCCGCAGAAGAAGCACCGGCUAACUCCGUGCCAGCAGCCGCGGUAAUACGGAGGGUGCAAGCGUUAAUCGGAAUUACUGGGCGUAAAGCGCACGCAGGCGGUCUGUCAAGUCGGAUGUGAAAUCCCCGGGCUCAACCUGGGAACUGCAUUCGAAACUGGCAGGCUAGAGUCUUGUAGAGGGGGGUAGAAUUCCAGGUGU